CGAUUGUGCAACAAACGACUCCUAGUAGCAAAAUUUCGAACUGCAUGAAAAUUUUUAUUCCUCGAACGUCGUCUGCUCGAAAUUGAACGUGAUGCCGUUACGUGAAAAAUCGCCGGUAUAGUCUAUCUAUUAUACGGCUCUGAGUGAAACUGUAUCAAUACUCUUUGUGAUGUACUUGAACGUUAGAAAAAGGUAUACUAGCCCAUAAUUUUCACUAGGCCCAAUUAUUUGAUCACAUGUUCUUGUAACAGCUGUAGGCUACAUUACGCUAAAAUAUCUCUUGCCACCUGUACUUGUUAUAGUGUCGUACAGCUUUUUCAUCCCUUGCAGACAACACUUAAAGUAAAGAUUGUACACAAUUCAUUAGUUCAAAAAACAAUGGUUCCAAUAGCACCCUUCAGAUUUUCAGUUUCCAGCCACAUCAGUGAUAAGGGACUUUUGUGGAAACUCAAAUGAAAAACUCUGGUAACAGAUAAUUAAUGUUGCUGAAAAUUCAAUAUGGGUUUAAUUAUUCUACAACAUUUUGGUUCACAAACUGAAGAAUACAAAAAAAAAAUGGGAGCGCUAUGCUGAACUCGUCUUUAUUUUGAGUUUGAUAUUGAAUAACAUCUAGAAAGUUUGAAACAUUUAUUCUUGCAUAGCUGUAAAUGAAGACUUUAUGGACACUUUAAGGACUGUAGUGUGUAUUGAUUACUCAACAGAUAAACUCAGAUGCUUGAAGAAAACUUGCUGUUAAAUAAAUAAUGGUGAACUAGCAACUUGCUGAGGACUCCAUCCGCACAGUAUUCUCCAAGCGUAGAUGACGGGAUUCAUGGCCGAGUUGAUCCAUCCGAGCCAAUUGACAAUCGUGCCGACUAAUUCUGGGUCGUGAAUACAAGACUGGCAAAAAGCGGACAGCAAUGUUGUGACGAAGAACGGUGACCAACAAACGACGAAGACUCCCAUCACGAUACCCACGGUCCUAUCAGUUUGCGGAUCAGAUUGAGUUUAGCGAUUGGGAAGUAACGUCCGGAUUCGCUGUCGCUAGCGACAACUGCCGAUGAAGUUACAGACAACACAGUUUUUGGUGCGGAUAUCUCCGCCUCUGGUGAGGAAUGGCGGCGACCAAUCGUUCGUUUGAUGCUGGACGAUGGAUCGGGUGUUUGUAAAACAUCAUCGCGGUCAAAAUGGCCGCGACGGCAGCACAUCUACGAAUUUCCGACGCGGCUCUGCCUCCGCGAUGGAUGCGCAACAUUAAUGAAGUUACGACCCGCUUGGUGCCAAGGCGAAGGGAUCGUGACUGGGCCACAGCUGCCCGGUAGAUUCGGUAAUAAGUGAAGAC